CUUAACGGUAAAAUGGCCUUCGAUACUGGGUCUCUUGAGUCCAGAAGAGGCCGGUGGAAUUCGUGGUGUAGCGGUGAAAUGCAUAGAGAUCACGAAGAACACCAGUGGCGCAGGCGGCCGGCUGGUCUGGAACUGACGCUGAGGCACGAGAGCGUGGGGAGCGAACAGGAUUAGAUACCCUGGUAGUCCACGCUGUAAACGAUGUGUGCUAGAUGUUGGCCCUUCGGGGUCAGUGUCGCAGCUAACGCAGUAAGCACACCACCUGGGGAGUACGUCCGCAAGGAUGAAACUCAAAGGAAUUGACGGGGGCCCGCACAAGCGGUGGAGCAUGUGGCUUAAUUCGAUGCAACGCGAAGAACCUUACCCAGGCUAAAUCCGGGGUGACCGGCCGGGAAACCGGCCUUCCCUUCGGGGCAC
rnacentral:rRNA from 1 species